UCUACCACCUCCUCUAUUGGAGAUAUCGGUGAGGGUACUGCUCCCAGUACUGACCAUCAUCCGAUGAGAAGGGGGAAGUGGGUACAAAUUACCAGGGCCUGGCUUCAUUGGCCCUGUUUAGCCCAUCUGCCCUUGCUGGGGGGCCCGAACCUGCUCUUGGCAGCCCUGCUGACCAUCCAGAGGAACCAGCCUUCCAGUCUAACAAGUGGGCUGCAUGUCCAGCAGAAGGCCCAUGCCUGGGAACUCUCUCUCAUCAUCCCCUAUGGUAGGCUUAGAUACAGGGUCAAGCGCAGCCAUCCCAAAGAAGCUCUUUGACCUCUCAGCUGCAAUCACCACCAUGCAGCAGUAUGUGAUUACAGGGAUCAGCUCUGUUGGUGGGAUUGUGCUUGUUCCUUGGAGCACAAAGAGGAAGAAGAGAGGGAGGAGCCUGCAGCGAGCACUGGCCCAAAACAGAAGACUGUUGCUGUUAGAGAACGUGUCACCCACAGGAAGUCCUGCUUCAACAGGAGAGGAACUGCAGAGGGUUGCUCUGAAGACCAGAGACUGGUUUGUGAGAGAGCAGUGCAGGGCUAAUAUAUCAAGAUCUAGUCCCAUAAGCAAAGACACGAGAACAGGCAGAAUCCACACCUACCUUUAAGCCCCUCAAAGAAGGAAGAGGAUGCAGCUCAGCAGCCUUCCUCUUGCAUCACUGGUUUCUAUUACAUGGACGUCUUUACAGGCAAAAAGGAAGUCUUUAGCUAAACCAGUUGUAUUUGAGCUGGGGCCUACAAAAUGCUUAUCACAAUCUUUAGGCACCAGUUUCCAUAGUCCAAGAAUCAAUGAAGGUGCCACAGACUUUGACCACUUCAAGUGAACACAUGCACAACUUUCCCUUGUUGCUCCCUGCACACCUGACACCCUUGGGUGAAUUCACCUACAAUUAAAUUAGCAGAUAACACCUACAACCACAAUGCAAAGGGAUCUGGAAAGAUUAGGGCAGCCCUGCACCCAGCUGGGGGAGGAAGCCUAGCACAAAUACAUCCCAAAUCAUUCUAUAACCAAGCAAUGCAUCCACCAAGAGAGCAGUAGAUUUUCAUCUCAUCCUGUCCAUGCCACUCCACCCUACCCUUUUAGGAAGCCGAGCACUAGAGUUGGCUCAGGGAACUUGUGGCAUCAGGUUUGUGCCCAGCUCCACCAAGAUUAUUUGAGCCCCACUGAUUUCAAUGGAUGUCCAUAACCGAGAGAUCUGGGCCUGGAUACCUAUUUAGCUGGUUAGGGUGUCUCAGCUCUUUCAGCGUGAACUGAUGUAACCUCUCCCUCCAAUUGUUAAUGCCUUAUGUUCCCUUCCUAAGCACAGUUCCAGCAUGUGGCACCUCACCCCUGCAAUUGAUAUAUGGAGUCUUACAUGGGGUCUAAGCACCACAGCUGUGUUUUCUGAACAAAAGCUCAAGAGUUCACCUGUUGGUGUCAACAGGGGAGUGGGCUGAAAGUGUGAGGAGCAGUUACCAGUAGGUUUCACCCAUCUCCUCAUCAGACCUAUCCAUCAUCAGCAUUUCACACCAAUAAGUGAUCUGUAGCAUCCAAAGUGAUUGGGGGGCAGGGAGGAGAGGAAUUAAAUAUUUCUGGUUUGCAUCCUUCAAAGGACUGGUGAUGGGGAAGGGGUAGAGGGGUGAACUGCCCAUUCUCCCUUUUUGUUAUUGUGCCGAUUGUGAGAACCCCCCCCCCCCCA